ensembl:lncRNA
UUUGAACUGCCAAACCAACAAGUGAAGAUAAAUUAAUCUGGGCUGUUCAGUACCUCUUAUCUCUGUUUUGACUUUCUUAGGAGCUCUCACACUGUAUGAAUUUUCAGCUUCAUACUUUAGGCAAAGGAAUAUCCGAAGGAAGCUAUUCUUUCUUACUUGUGAUUUCACAUUACUGCCCCAAGACUUCUGCAUCAUCACACAGUGUGAAUUGCAAACAAAUUCAUUUUUGAAGAAUUUUAAUCUUUUGUAUGUCUGUAGAAACUUCAGUUGAGGAACGAGUCUUCUGGCAGCUUAAUGAUAGCAAUGUGCAGGUUUAAAAUAAAUAUGUCUGUCACAAGCCAGUAAAUAGCACAACAAAAAUAAAAUGAAAAUAAAAUGGAAUACUUUGGCGUUCUCUGUUAUGCAAGUUGGCACACAAUUUCUGAAAACUGGUUUCUAUAAGUGGUGCCAUCAGCUAAGAGAUUAGUAUUUGAUGUGCAGAUCUACUGCCACAGUGAUACUGGAUUUAACACGAUCCAUCAUUUUUACCCAUAAAAACAGUGCUUGUAGGCACAAUGUCCAAGCUUUCAUUUUGAGUGUCUCUUAUAGUAUGACAACUUUGUUUCUCAAUAUUUAUUUUUGUAAGAGAAGACUGAACAUACUAAAAACAUUCUAUGAUACCUUUACAUCUCCUAUACUAAAUAAAGAUAGAUUUAAGAAGUUAGGAUGAAUCCCUCCCUUUAAAUAAGGCAAUUCCCUUGACUAUGUUGAAGCUCACAUUUCAUCUUCAAUAUUGGAUAUUCUGGAGAAGAACAUCAGAACUGGAUAGGAAUACAAAGACAUGACUGGUUUAGCUUCCAGGAAAAAUCUAUUUAAUUUUUUGAGUAUUAACAGCUGCAAAAGUAUUAAGAAUUUAGAGCCAUUCAUAGAUUAUAACUUCAUUCUUCAAAAGGAAUACACUCAGCAAAUACCUACCUUCCUAAGCAACAAAUCUUAUGUCAGAGAGAAGUGUGGUAUCUGGGUAUAGUGAGUACAAUUGCAAGAUAGUGAAACUGCAACUGAUAGAAACUUCAACACGAUUACAACUAUCUGUUACUGCCACAUGCAAACUUCUGUUUCUCCAUUUUUCCUUGUGUAGAUCUCUUUUUAUUACUUUAACGGCUACAUUUAAGGAAGAAAGUGAAAUGAUUUUUAGGAUAAUGUUUUAGUGCCUGUUUCACAAUGGUUUUUAUUGAGCUGUAAAGCACUUGCAUGCAUAGAGAGAAGAAGGUGCAUUUUAGAAAUAAAACUAUUAAGCAACAUUAUCUUGCCAUGGAUCAUUCCCACUGGGAUAGAAGAACCAUUUGAAAAGCAUAACUGAAUUCAGUUAAAAUAUGAUACGUUUUGAUCUCCAUCUUACCUACAUUUUCAGCAUUGCAUAUUGUUCAAGUAACAAUAAUAAAGGCAUGACUGUGUUUAGAAGUCUUUAUCUGAUCAUAUGUUGCACAAUGCCUUUAUAUUUUCGCCAAGCUACUUGUAGUUGGGAAUAAUUUAAAUAUACCAGCCUCCAUCUAGAGAAGUGGAUAGACAUGUAAGUUCCUAAAUUUAAUUGUUCAUAUAUGGUCCAUCACUAGGAAUCAAUGUGACAUGUAAGCCCCCCUGAAAACAUGCCUUUCCAUAUUAUGGCAUGAAUGGACUGCAGGUAAAUGACUACUUAUAUUUGAGACAAAACUACACAAAUGUGUAUCCAAAGUAGAAUUCACAGAAUUGACUUCAUAAAUUUUCUGAGGCCUGAACAAGAAGUACUGUAUUUAUCUUCUUGCUUGUGAGUAGACAUUCACAGAGACCAUGGAGAUAUGUCCAUUGGUUAUUAUGAUGUGACUGUUUACUGAUUCUCCCUAAAGAAGGUAGAAAACCUCUCCCUUAAGUGAGUAUUAAAUUAGCAUGUAUUUUUCUGAACUGUAGGCCUCAUAUCCAUUUUGUAAGUCACUGGAUCCUUUGAGUGAUCUGCACACAGGAGAUUAACAAUGCCUUUUGAAGUAUAUUGGUUAUCCUAUCACACUUGUGAACACUGCCUAAUAUAGAAAAGUAAUAUUACUACCUAAGUACGCAGUAGGGAAACAUCAUUUCUGCUUUACAGAUGGCCAGGUGAGAUAUGAAGAAAUUAGGUGACUUUUCCAAUGUCAAACAAGAAACCUGUUUCAGAAUGGAGAAAGUCUCGGCCUUCUGAGUUCUUGGCUGAUUUCCUGAACAAUCAAACUAUUCCUUUCUUCUGGCAUGAAUAAACCUCUGGUUGCAAACUGGGAUGCUGAAAGCAUCAGUUUAUUGGAUAAAAAAAAGCAAAAGGAACCAUCUGACACAGUAUAAAAUAACCUGUACGGCCCCUUAUCCAACAUCACAUCCCAAAAUCCCAUAUGAAGUUAAAUAGCA